rnacentral:pre_miRNA from 1 species
AAUGUAUGACGCCGUUGACUUUUUGUCUAACGUUUGACCAUUCGUCUUAUUCAAAAAAUUUAUAUAAUUAGCAUUUAUUUUAUUGUGACUUGAUUCAUCAUCAAAUGAUCUUUAAGCAUGACAUAAAUAUUUUCAGUUUUGCAUAAAUUUUUUGAAUAAGACGAACGGUCAAACGUUAAUUAAAAAGUCAACGGCGUCAUACAUU